AAGUCGUAACAAGGUUUCCGUAGGUGAACCUGCGGAAGGAUCAUUAACAAACAGCGAGCAAAAAGCGAAGCACAAUGUGUAAUGAAGUGUGCUGAUGGUGUCCCGGUGGGGAGUGGGAGCGCAGCAUGAAAAACGAUUGUCAGAUAGAAUAGUAUGUAUGUAAUAACAACAACUUUUAACAAUGGAUCUCUUGGCUCUU
rnacentral:misc_RNA from 1 species